GGCUGGUCCAAAUGCAGUGAUAUUGACAGAUCAUUGAUCACAACCAGUUAUAGAUUUCUUUGUUCCUUUUCCAGUCCCCGCUUGACUAAUGGUGCUUUC
ensembl:misc_RNA Y_RNA Y RNA